rnacentral:rRNA from 1 species
UACGUAGGGGGGCAAGCGUUGUCCGGAUUUAUUGGGCGUAAAGAGCGUGUAGGCGGCCAUGCAGGUCCGUUGUGAAAACUGGAGGCUUAACCUCCAGACGUCGAUGGAAACCGUCUGGCUAGAGUCCGGAAGAGGAGAGUGGAAUUCCUGGUGUAGCGGUGAAAUGCGCAGAUAUCAGGAAGAACACCGAUGGCGAAGGCAGCUCUCUGGGACGGUACUGACGCUGAGACGCGAAAGCGUGGGGAGCGAACAGG